UGAGGAAUAUUGGUCAAUGGGCGAGAGCCUGAACCAGCCAAGUAGCGUGCAGGAUGACGGCCCUAUGGGUUGUAAACUGCUUUUAUGUGGGGAUAAAGUGCGUGACGUGUCAUGCAUUGCAGGUACCACAUGAAUAAGGACCGGCUAAUUCCGUGCCAGCAGCCGCGGUAAUACGGAAGGUCCGGGCGUUAUCCGGAUUUAUUGGGUUUAAAGGGAGCGUAGGCUGUCUAUUAAGCGUGUUGUGAAAUUUACCGGCUCAACCGGUGGCUUGCAGCGCGAACUGGUCGACUUGAGUAUGCAGGAAGUAGGCGGAAUUCAUGGUGUAGCGGUGAAAUGCUUAGAUAUCAUGACGAACUCCGAUUGCGCAGGCAGCUUACUGUAGCAUAACUGACGCUGAUGCUCGAAAGUGCGGGUAUCAAACAG
rnacentral:rRNA from 1 species